rnacentral:rRNA from 1 species
AGAGUUUGAUCCUGGCUCAGAAUCAACGCUGGCGGCGUGCCUCAGACAUGCAAGUCGAACGCGAAAGUCCCCUUCGGGGGACAAGUAGAGUGGCGCACGGGUGAGUAACACGUAGGUAAUCUACCUUCGGAUGGGGAAUAACAAUCGGAAACGGUUGCUAAUACCGCAUAAUGCAGCGGCACCUAAUGGUGACAGUUGUUAAAGCGGGGGAUCGAAAGACCUCGCGUCUGAAGAGGAGCCUGCGGCGGAUUAGCUAGUUGGUAGGGUAACGGCCUACCAAGGCUACGAUCCGUAGCCGGCCUGAGAGGGCGGUCGGCCACACUGACACUGACAUACGGGUCAGACUCCUACGGGAGGCAGCAGUCGGGAAUUUUGGGCAAUGGGCGAAAGCCUGACCCAGCAACGCCGCGUGAAGGAUGAAAUCCCUCGGGAUGUAAACUUCGCAAGAACGGGAAGAAUAAGUAGGGGACAAUACCCCCUAUGAUGACGGUACCGUUUGUAAGCUCCGGCUAACUCCGUGCCAGCAGCCGCGGUAAUACGGGGGGAGCAAGCGUUGUUCGGAUUUACUGGGCGUAAAGGGCGCGUAGGCGGCCUCCGCAAGUCAAUUGUGAAAUCUCCGAGCUUAACUCGGAAGGUCAACUGAUACUGCGGGGCUAGAGUGCGGAANGGGCAACUGGAAUUCUNGGUGUAGCGGUGAAUGCGUAGAUAUCAGAGNAACACUGCGGCGAAGCGG